rnacentral:rRNA from 1 species
AAUGAACGCUGGCGGCAUGCCUAACACAUGCAAGUCGAACGAGUGGCGGACGGGUGAGUAAUGUCUGGGAAACUUCCUGAUGGAGGGGGAUAACUACUGGAAACGGUAGCUAAUACCGCAUACCAUCUGAUUUGCCCAGAAGGGAUUAGCUAGUAGGUGGGGUAAAGGCUCACCUAGGCGACGAUCCCUCGCUGGUCUGAGAGGAUGACCAGCAACACGGGAACGGAGACACGGUCCAGACUCCUAGGGGAGGAAGCAGUGGGGAGUAUUGCACAAGGGGCGAAAGCCUGAGGCAGCCAUGCCGCGUGUAUGAAGAAGGCCUUCGGGUUGUAAGGUACGUUCAGCGGGGAGGCGUUACCCGCAGAAGAAGCACCGGCUAACUCCGUGCCAGCAGCCGCGGUAAUUC